AAAAAAGUAAAAGGCUUUUGUUCAUUAACCACAUGUUCUUGGUUGUGAGUACUAUAUGCUCAAGGCAGAAUUAUGUUUAGAUUCCUUUUUUUUUGUAAAAGACAGAAGCCUUCAUACCUGCAUCCUUGUUCCCUGCGUGCUCAUGCUGGAUAUUUAAAUUCACUUGGAGUGUAAAGGCAGAAUGUCUAAAUCAAUGUACAAGGCUGAGAAGGCAUCAGAGACAGAUUUGAAAGAGACCCAUGGUCCAUUUUGAAGAUUGGUUCCCUGUGCUCAAUAAAUUUCUGACAGAAGCUAGAAGUAAAGUUCUCAGCCACUUCAGAGAUGCAUAAU